GCUGGGUGCAAUGGCAUGUGCCUGUAGUACCUGUAGCUACUUGGGAGACUGAGGCAGGAGGAUUGCUUGAGCCCAGGAGUUCUGCACUGUAGUGUGCUAUGCAGGUCAGGUGUCCUUACUACAUUUGGCAUCACUAUGGUGACCUCCUGGGAGUGGAGAACAACAAGGUUGCCUAAGAAGGGGUGAACUGGCCCAGGUCAGAAAUGGAGCAGGUCAAAAUUCCUGUGCUGAUCAGUAGUGGGACUGCACCUGUAAAUAGCCACUGUAGUACUCCAGCCUGGGCAACACAGCGAGAUUCCAUCUGUU
ensembl:misc_RNA Metazoa_SRP Metazoan signal recognition particle RNA